rnacentral:rRNA from 1 species
UACGUAGGGGGCAAGCGUUGUCCGGAUUUAUUGGGCGUAAAGAGCGUGUAGGCGGUCAGGUAGGUCCGUUGUGAAAACUCGAGCUCAACCGUCGAGACGCCGAUGGAAACCAUCUGACUAGAGUCCGGAAGAGGAGAGUGGAAUUCCUGGUGUAGCGGUGAAAUGCGCAGAUAUCAGGAAGAACACCGGUGGCGAAGGCGGGUCUC